GUGUGUGCGCGGGUGUGUGUGUGGGUGCGUGCGUGGGUGGGUGCGUGCGUGCGUGCAGUUUUAUGGACAUAGCAGUUAUAAAAAAAAUAGGUCAGGAUUAUUUUUUAGGAUUAAGUCAACCAGUACUUAGCCGUUGUUUUGGAGAAAUUAGUUUUAUAAUCACAACACAUCUAAGUGGAAGAUAUAUUACAUUUUCCAGAAACAUGGAAAUGAAAGUAACAUUUUAUGAAAAAAAUUUAAUUUCCCUGUAGUAAUAGGCUGCAUAGACUGUACGCAUAUAGCAAUAAUUAUUAAUCAUGCACAGCAUCCUGGUUUUGUAUAUUUGAACAGAAAAGGAUUUCAUAGCAUCAAUUGCCAAAUUAUUUGUGACUCAAACUUGAAAAUAUUACACUGUAAUGCUAGAUAUCCUGGAUCUAUGCAUGACUCGGCUAUUUGGAAUAUGUCAAACAUGUAUAACCAUAUGGAACAUAGUUAUCAAGAAAACCAACAUGGUUUUUGGUUACUAGGCGAUUCGGGAUAUCCUUUACAGCCAUGGUUAUUAACACCGAUAGAAAGGGCUCAGGAAGAUACGCCAGAAGCUUGAUACACAACUGCAAAUAUUAGAGUAAGGAAUACAGUUGAACGAUGGAGUUUUAAAAACUACUUACUACUUGUAUCACAUAAUGUGGAAGUAGAAGAAAAUUUUGAAAUUUUUGAGGCAUUUGAAAACAAUCGACCAAAUAACGAGCCCGAAAAUGGUAACUUACUAGCUGUUGGGCGUAGAAUUAGAAAUCAGCUGAUUAGAAAUUAUUUUCAUUAACAUUUGUAUCCUGUAAUAAAUAAUAACUAAUUAUACAUUAUUUUUAUUA